rnacentral:rRNA from 1 species
GAUGAACGCUGGCGGCGUGCCUAUUACAUGCAAGUCGAGCGAACAGACGAGGAGCUUGCUCCUCUGACGUUAGCGGCGGACGGGUGAGUAACACGUGGAUAACCUACCUAUAAGACUGGGAUAACUUCGGGAAACCGGAGCUAAUACCGGAUAACAUGUUGAACCGCAUGGUUCAACAGUGAAAGACGGUCUUGCUGUCACUUAUAGAUGGAUCCGCGCCGCAUUAGCUAGUUGGUAAGGUAACGGCUUACCAAGGCAACGAUGCGUAGCCGACCUGAGAGGGUGAUCGGCCACACUGGAACUGAGACACGGUCCAGACUCCUACGGGAGGCAGCAGUAGGGAAUCUUCCGCAAUGGGCGAAAGCCUGACGGAGCAACGCCGCGUGAGUGAUGAAGGUCUUCGGAUCGUAAGACUCUGUUAUUAGGGAAGAACAAAUGUGUAAGUAACUUUGCACGUCUUGACGGUACCUAAUCAGAAAGCCACGGCUAACUACGUG